rnacentral:rRNA from 1 species
AACGAACGCUGGCGGCAGGCCUAACACAUGCAAGUCGAACGCUCCGCAAGGGGAGUGGCAGACGGGUGAGUAACACGUGGGAAUCUUCCUAUUGGUACGGAAUAGCUCAGGGAAACUUGGGUAAUACCGUAUAAGCCCGUGAGGGGAAAGAUUUAUCGCCGAUAGAUGAGCCCGCGUCUGAUUAGCUAGUUGGUGAGGUAACGGCUCACCAAGGCGACGAUCAGUAGAUGGUCUGAGAGGAUGACCAGCCACACUGGGACUGAGACACGGCCCAGGCUCCUACGGGAGGCAGCAGUGGGGAAUAUUGGACAAUGGGCGCAAGCCUGAUCCAGCCAUGCCGCGUGAGUGACGAAGGUCUUCGGAUUGUAAAGCUCUUUUGCCAGGGACGAUAAUGACGGUACCUGGAGAAUAAGCCCCGGCUAACUUCGUGCCAGCCGCCGCAGUAACAC